rnacentral:lncRNA from 1 species
CAGGCUGAUUAUUCCCAGGGCUGGGAGGAAAGUUAUUUGCAGAGGAGAACAAGCUCAGGACUCUUCCUAAGAAAGGCUGAGUAAGAAACCGGGUUUCUGACCUCUCUACUCCAGCAAGCUCAGGGUCCUUCCCUCUCUCCUGGCUUUGUGUGUUUGCAUUACUCAUUACGUGGUUUGAAGUUCAGGCUAAGAGCAGCAGCACACUCGCCAAGACACAAGGUUCAAUGGCUUGCUUAGGACACAACGCAGCUCAUAGGUGGAAGGGACUUGCCUUGUCUCAGGUAAGACCUCAGACUGUGGACUCUUUAGUUAAUGCUGAAAUGAGUGAAGACUUUGGGGGAGUGUUGGGAGGGCAUGAUUGUGUUUCAAACUAUGAGAAGAUGAGAUUUGGGAGGGGCCGGGGUGGAAUGAUAUGGUUUGGCUUUGUGUCCCCAUCCAAAUCUCAUCUUGUAGCUCCCAUGAUUCUCAUGUGUUGUUGGAGGAACCCACUGGAAGAUGAUUGA